rnacentral:rRNA from 1 species
UAUUUCAAUUUUCUUUCACAAUACUAUUAUACUAUAAUUAAAAUUAUUUUUUCUUUAAAAAAUACUAAAACAAAUCUAUAUAUAAUUAUUUUUAAUAAAUUAAAUUUUGAAAAUAUAAAAAUAAUAAAUAAAAUAUAAUCAAUUUAUAUUGAUUUGCACAAAAUUCUUUUCAAUGUAAAUGAAAUACUUUACUUAAUAAGCUUUAAAUUGCAUUCUAGAUACACUUUCCAGUACAUCUACUAUGUUACGACUUAUCUUACUUUAAUAAUAAGAGUGACGGGCGAUGUGUACAUAUUUUAGAGCUAAAAUCAAAUUAUUAAUCUUUAUAAUUUUACUAUCAAAUCCACCUUCAAUAAAUAUUUCAAAUUUAUAUUCAUAUAAAUAAAUUUAUUGUAACCCAUUUUUACUUAAACAUAAGCUACACCUUGAUCUGAUAUAUUUUCUUUUAUAAAAUUAUGAAAAUUAACAUUCUUAUAAAAUAUUCUAAUAACGACGGUAUAUAAACUAAUUACAAAUUUAAGUAAGGUCCAUCGUGGAUUAUCGAUUAUAAAACAGGUUCCUCUGAAUAGACUAAAAUACCGCCAAAUUUUUUAAGUUUCAAGAAUAUAACUA